UGAAAUUGGAGCACAUCCCAAAAAUGGCCGAAAAGGCUGCCGUCGCUUGCCCUUAAUGUCCUUCAAUGAUUUGUUGCCCAACCUUAACCUUUGCCAUUGACAAAAAUACCCUUCCAGAAAAAUAGCUCUUGAAUCAACAUUUUACAACCUACCUUUCUCAAAAGUGAACUCCACAAUUUUAUCGCCAUUUGCUACCUAAAUUAAUACACAUUUUUCCAUAAUAUUUCUUAGAACUGGAAUAAACUUCGAAAAAUUCGGAAGCACAACAUUUUUUACCCGGGGGUCUUCUUAUUCUUCCUUUGGCUUCCUGAUUUUGCCGCUUCUUCUUCAUAAACUUGGUCACUACUUUAAUUAAAUUUUUAAUGUUCCUCUGGUCGGACAGGCUUCAAAACUAUUUCACUCAACUUGAUUUGUUCAAAUCUUCCGGAACACACUUUCUGACCCGCCGAUAUCUAAAAAAAUCGAUUAUAAUCUGCUGAUUUUCACAGAACCCGAGCAACCGACUGAAGGAAGUUUUCUUUUUACCGCCUCUGUCCGUACACACAAACCUUUCUUAGUAUGUGUAAAUCCAUCAUUUCUAAAUGAACAUUUGAAAAAAACGUACUGCAACACAGCCUCUUCCACUGACAUUAAUCGAAACAAGCCCUAUCCAAACAUUUAUCAAAGAUGAUGUAAAAAGUGUUGCCAGUCAAAUGUACGAGACGAAAUCAAAUAAAUUCAAUCUUAGUUAAAAUAUACUUUUUAUUUGCGUAUUCAAUGAAAAAGAAACUUAUCAACUAACCCUGCAUGGAAACACAAUUUUCAUUAGCAAAUAGGAGCAACUAAAACCAAACUAAAACGAAAAAAAAUACCCGACAGUUGUAUUUUAGCCACACUCAAACUAGCAUCACUGGUCAUGCCACCGCACCGCAGUUCUGUCAUGCGGAUGGGGUUAGAAAACAAAAUCAAAACAUUCGUGUCAGUGUCAGCAAAACAAACCAGCUGCAGGAGAAUUGAAACCUGUGACCGUGUCCGCUGUAAUAUCUUCAAGCUGAGCAAGUCCCCGAAAAGUGUUCCGUCGUCAAGCGGCCCAACGGAAGUGGCGGAGCCUUUUUUGAGUAUAGUCUGUGCUAAGAUGCCCGACAAAGAACCCGGAGGACUCCAAAGAAGAUCAACCGACCAGAACUCUAGUGGAUAAUAAGUAAUUCUUCAAGCGAUAAGUGGCGUUUUCGAGCUGACCCUACCACCGUCGGACGAUGACAAGCUGGUCGCCCGACACUACGAAACAGUCGAAAGACUCACCGGUUGGGAUGUACUUCCGGCGGAGAGGGAUUCAGAAUUGCCGGGACGAUCGCAGGGAUUUUACAAUCAUGUUUAGAAAUUCCAUUGCACAUCGAGUGCUGCCUGGUGCUCGUGGAGACAGCUUUGUGAGCAAGGUCGAGUUGGUCCACGUGGGUCCGGAGGUGCAGGCUAACAGGCCGUUAAGGGACAUUUUCGGCCGCAAAAGGUGAAAUCUUUUGGACCAAAUCAUGAAGCUGAAAAGGGUUGGCAAGAAUUGACCGGAAUCUUUGCUGGUCAUGUCACUGCUCUAUCUGGGACAUCAUCUGAAGGACAUUACGCUGCAGCUUGUUCCGCAGAUCAAGGUUUCGUCGGUUCAAGUCACUUUGGGCAACUUUUCGGUGUAAACCCGGAAGAGUGGCUGCUGAAUCAGAGCAAUCGCAACGAGCAAACCCCGGCUGGGAUUCUUGACGAGUUCAAUUGGCUUUGCUUUUUGGACAUUUUCGGGCAAAAUCUCAAAUUUGUUGUACAUUUAGUCAGCAAGGCGACGGUCUUGUAGAUGGAGAAAAUCCGGGUUAACAAACAUUACACCGGCCAAUCCUUCGUGCAGACAUGCACGUCUGUAUACUCCCGGCCUUCCGACGAGAACAAGUCGAGGGAAAUACGCUUUAUAAAAUUGCAACUGUCAAAUAAAAAUCAAUAUUUAACAAUGCGCCUCCAAUACUGGUCCCAGCAGAUUUUUCAAGAGCAAUUGCUGACUGGAUGAUAUCGCUUAUUUUUUAAGUUAGAAGUUAGUCCCCCGUAAAUUUUGACCCUUUUCCUUGGCGCGAUAGGCUGGCCCCCCCUGUGCCCCCUCCCCCCCCCACCAACCAGAACUAAGCGCCGCCUAGUGGCCAGGUAGGUAUUAAAAAAUGUUCUGCUUUAUGGAUAGUUUUUGCACUGCAAUGUGAAUUAUCUUUUUUCUAAAUGUUUACAUUUUCCAUCAAACAAAACAAAGAGAUUUGUGUUUGAUAAACAUUUCAUAAACACAUAAACACUAACAUGGUGUGUGUUGGUAUUUGUGAUAGUCUUACCAACACAUGUAUACUGAUAAUGAUUAAUGAUUUCAAUGAUUACUAUAAAGAAGAAGAAAAAUAAGAAGAAGCCGAAAUCGGAUUUGAAGGCAUUUCA